AGGGAUUUAGCUCAACAGCAUAAGUGCCUGCCUUGCAAGCAGGCGGUUGUGAGUUCAAUCCCUG
rfam:Cavia porcellus supercont2_24 genomic scaffold, whole genome shotgun sequence.